rnacentral:lncRNA from 1 species
AAACCCUUUCUCUUUAUAACUUGAUUAUUUCAUAUAUUUCAUGCAGAUUUCAAAAGGAGAUCUGAGAGGCCAGGCAGUAUGUGACAAGGUUAGAGUCCCUGCAGGUAGCCCGUGAGAGGGUGACCUGGGCACUGCGAGAGUGAGGUAGAAGCUGCAGUGCAGACCCCAGGAAGUUGGAGAUGCCAGGAACAUGCAGUGUCUGUCAAGGAAAGCUACAGGCAGUGAGCAGAGCCAGCCUGAGGGUGCUAUAUGGACAGCAACUAGCCAGGCCAUAUAGGUGGGGCUGCUGGAGCCCUCUGGAGCUCACAUCAUACCACUGCAUGCCCCAGAUACCAGUCAUGGAGCUACAGAUUUAAUGAUUACCUUGUUGGGUUUUGAUCUUGGUUUGGUUCCAUCCAUGCUUUUUUCCUCCUAGUAUGAGGGACCCAUACAUGGAGCUAUAUUCUUAGUCCUAUUUGUUUUGAGUCAGGGUCUUGCUAAGUUGUGAAUUUGCCCAGCCUGAGCUCAAACUUGAGACCCUCUUACUUCAGCCUGCCAGAGUGCUGGAAUUACAGGCUGUCACCUGCUUCCUCCCCUGCAGUGACCUCCUUUCAGGUAGGUAAGUCUUCAGAGGACGUGGCCCUGGAAGAAGAGACCAUCUGUGAGAACAGUCAGCCCAAGGAGGCUUCUCUAUGGACAGAUCACCCAGGGGCUCUUCACUCUUUAGCCAGGAAAAGCUCACCCAAAUCAGGCUCCCUUAAGUCAUCAUCACUCCUAAAGCUCAAGGCAGAGAAGAAUGACCUGGCAAAAUUGGGGAAGAACCACUCUCUCAGCCUUCUUUUCCUUGUCCAUCAUCAAUAGCAUCUGCUCCUUCUCCUCCUUUUUCUCCUCCUCUCUGUCUAAGAACAGUGGUGAUCUGAAGGCUCACUCUGCCUUGGACUCAGGUAUCUGUGGCACUCCCAAGGUCAAGGCCAAGAAGACCUCCUGGGCGGCCAACAGUCUGGCCAAGGCAUUCUCUGAAUUCGAGUAGAGUGUCAAGAGUCAAGAGAAGAUGGAUAUCAGGACUUUCAUCAAACCUAUAGGCCAGCUCCAGGGUGCGCUGGAAGGCUCUCUACAAGUGAGGAUUCACAACUGCUCGCCUCCCAGCCUCUGAAGGGUUCAAGAGGCUCAGCCAUUAUCAUCAUCCUUCUGGAUUUCACUCCCUGGUUUUCCCCCCAGAAAGGAGUGGAAAGUGCAAGCCACCUCCUGCAAAUGCUGGAGAAGCUGUAAAGUGGAUGGGUGGUAUGUGAGGUUGAGGAAUUGCAGGGCUGGGUGCCCUCACACAGUCUGGUUCCUGACCAGAACAAGCAGCUGAUGUGUGGGGAGAUUGGCUGACGAAUGAAUACUUAAAGUGC